UAAUAUAUUUAUUUUUCAAAUAAAUUCAAGAAAAUGUCCAUCUCUGAAACCUCAUCUUCAUCACCCGAUCAUCAUCAACAAAUACUCGCUUCACUCUCUCCGACAAGAAAAAUUCAAUUCGUGUCGAAAUCCGUGUCGGAGAGGCUCCUGUCGAAAUUCUACGAUGUGUCGGAGUUCGACUUCGAUUACACGCAGAGCGGGAUUUGGUCACCACCGAUUCAACGAAGCGCGUUUCUAAACUCGCCCGGAGAGAUUUCGGAUAAACACGACAUGGCCGAGAAGCUCAGAACCGCUCUUGCAAGACAUACACGAAGAAAACGCCGUCGCCUUUCAUUUAAUGCGUGCUUGUGUUCUCCGAAGCGAUUCUGAAAAUAGAACCCGAAAAUUCAACGACUUAACUGUAUUUAAUUAAUUUGUACCAUGACUCUUUAUUAAUUUCAAUGUAUAAAUUUAAUUUAUAUACAUAGAAGAGAUGUAUGUAUUGUUUAUGGGUGUGAACAAUUUUUUGUUGUU